GCGAGAGCGAAGAAUGAAAAAGUAGGGCGUUUGGCCGGUCUUCGGUUUCGGUCUCUCUCUCGUCGGCUUGGUUCGGCCAUUAUUAGACAUUAUUGCUGCUGCCCAGAGAGGUCAAAAGUUCAUCCAGAUCUCCGGAUUCCAUCGAUGAUCAUGAGGAAAAUCUUCUUCAGUGGCGGGGGUUGCGCAUCACCCGCAUGCUCCUCUCCACUGCAAAUACCCUGAAUACCUUGGACAGGGCUACGAGGCCUUGCAGACAAACCCUCUGGACCAGGGUGCAGCACCAUUUGGGCCACGCCCACCUGUGCCCUGCCGUAUCGGUCUUCGUUUCGCUUAUUCAGGAUAUAUGGACCACUGAGGACGACGUAAUGUACAGUUUUUCUGGAAAAAGAGAAAUUGUUAUUAAUUGGUGCUGUUUAAUGUCCAGCGCCGCGGGUGCGCUGAUCCUGGCGCCGUAGCUGAUUGGACACGUAGCCAGACUGGACUGGACGUGAAAUUGCGCUGCUCUUGCUCGCCGGCCUGCUGCUAUGGCGGCGUAAACGGGCGCUGCUCCUCCGCAGGUCCGCCGUCGCCUCACCCCUGAAGCCCAUAUAAUAUUAUAUUCACCUCGUAUGCGGCUCCGGAAACGGCUUACAGAAGUUUUUUCAGAGAAAUUGUCUUUCGUGCCGCGUCAAACUGUCCAAUCGCUCACCCCGCCCACUUUAAAGAGUUUUCUGCAUCGCGCGCAGGAGGUUCGAAGUGAAGUUAGCUCGAGUUGGUAGCCCUGUCUGAGUACUGAGACUUCACUCCGAUCAUCUAACCCAUUUUAUAUAAGUGGACAGGGUGAGAGAUGGGCCAAUUUUGCCGCGGCAUGAACGAUAUAUUUGAUUUAGUCUUUGCUAGAUGGCGCCGCAGGAGUUUUGGUUGGG